rnacentral:misc_RNA from 1 species
AAGUCGUAACAAGGUUUCCGUAGGUGAACCUGCGGAAGGAUCAUUAAUGAAUUUUGAAAGGGGUUGUAGCUGGUCUUUUCCAAGACAUGUGCACGCCCUGCUCAUCCAUUCUACCCCUGUGCACACUCUGUAGGUCGGUUUUGAAGCAAUUCCUCACGGAAUUGCUCGGGCCUUCCUAUGUUUUCAUACAAACACUUUAAAGUCAAAGAAUGUAAUCGCGUGUAACGCAUUUAAUACAACUUUCAGCAACGGAUCUCUUGGCUCUC